UGUGUGAGUGAAUGUGUGUGUGUGAGUGCAUGCUUUAAUAUGUUUAUACUCCAACGGAGUGGACCGUGACAGUGCUCUCUCUUCCUGGUGGGAUGGGAGGACCCAGGGAGAUGACUAAGGGGAGCAGGGCAGAGGAAGGACAACGUCUCUAGGCUCUGUAGGCACAGCACUGAAGGGACGAACACACACACACACACACACACAGCACACACACCUCCCUGCGUCCAGCUCCCACUCUCCCCUGACGCGGUCCGGGCCGCUGGUGGGGGUGAUCCUGGCACAGUGAUCCAGACGGGGAGAUUUACAAGAGAAAGAGACGGCCAGAGACAGCCCUCACCAGGGGGGAACACAAUGGAGAAAAAGGAGGGUGAGGGUGGUAUCAGUCCUUUCCUGGCGAGGCCAUCGUGGAGCCAAGUGUGAUUACCUGAUUACCAGUCAGUCUGGAGGAAGGGCAACUACAGAGUUAUUUGUCAAGACCAACGGCUGUGCUAUAAUUCUGUUGCACAAAGCCAGGCAGCGAGCCAACG
ensembl:lncRNA